rnacentral:rRNA from 1 species
GAUGAACGCUGGCGGCGUGCCUAAUACAUGCAAGUCGAGCGAACGGACGAGAAGCUUGCUUCUCUGAUGUUAGCGGCGGACGGGUGAGUAACACGUGGAUAACCUACCUAUAAGACUGGGAUAACUUCGGGAAACCGGAGCUAAUACCGGAUAAUAUUUUGAACCGCAUGGUUCAAAAGUGAAAGACGGUCUUGCUGUCACUUAUAGAUGGAUCCGCGCUGCAUUAGCUAGUUGGUAAGGUAACGGCUUACCAAGGCAACGAUGCAUAGCCGACCUGAGAGGGUGAUCGGCCACACUGGAACUGAGACACGGUCAAGACUCCUACGGGAAGCAGCAGUAGGGAAUCUUCCGCAAUGGGCGAAAGCCUGACGGAGAAACGCCGCGUGAGUGAUGAAGGUCUUCGGAUCGUAAAACUCUGUUAUUAGGGAAGAACAUAUGUGUAAGUAACUGUGCACAUCUUGACGGUACCUGAUCAGAAAGCCACGGCUAACUACGUG